AUUGAUACAUAAUAUUUUACAUAUUUAUAGGGUACAUGCGAUGUUUUGUUAUAUGCUGUUCUCUAACUAACAUUUUUUAAACUGGGAGUAGGUUUGUCUGCCAUUGUGGAUUUCCUGGGCAGAGUGGAGUGAAGGUGCCAAAAGCCAAGAAGACACUGAGGCAGUCUUUAAGAAAGCUCUCUUAGCUGUCAUAGGUGCCGACUCAGUAACCCUGAAGAAUAAGUACCUGGAUUGGGCUUAUCGAAGUGGUGGCUACAAAAAGGCCAGAGCUGUGUUUAAAAGGUACUCACAGAUGUUCAUAGUUGUUACUAGUCCCUCUACCCCAUGCUCAGCCGCUCAUACCCAGAUUAUUUGAAUCACAGAUAGCAUCUGAGGGAGUAAUCUGAUACACUUUUUCUUUUUUUUUAAGAUGGAGUCUUGCUCUGUUGCCCAGGCUGGAGUGCAGUGGCACAAUCUCUGCUCACUGCAAUCUCCGC
rnacentral:sRNA from 1 species